rnacentral:misc_RNA from 1 species
UCAAAACAGCGGACUUCGGUCCUUGCUGCACCCUUGUCUUUUGCGCACCGUAUUGUUUCCUCGACGGGCUUGCCUGCCGGUUGGACAUUAUCAAAACCUUUUUGUAGUUGCAAUCAGCGUCAGAAAAACAAUAAUUAUUA